AGGGAAAUAGCAGCAAUGACUGAAAUCAGUCUAGACAAACAAAGCCCAGGGGCUUGACAAAAGACAUCUGCAUCUGCAGAGAGUGGAGCAAGCUGUCCUGCCCCUUCACCAGUGAAGUCCCUUCCCCAGGACCCUAUGGAGCUGUCUGAAAGGUUUUUUUGCUCUUCUUCCAGGCUGGGGACAAAGCUGGGUGCUGGUUCCUGAACUGCUCCACCAGCCCAGAGCAACCAGGAGACCUCAGAAAGGAGCUGUUGGUGAUGGAACAGGUGAUGAGGAGAUGUAUAUACACAGCAGAAGACCAGGCUCAACGCUAACCCAAGUGCAGAAAAGCCACAGGCUCCCAGAGAGCUCACCAUUUCCCUGGCUAGCAGUUGGCUUCCAGAGCUGAAGAGGUGGGAACUGAAGGCCGUGUAAGGCAUUCAUCACCUCCAGUACUCUCCCCAGUUACCAGAGCUCUUUCACAGCCAAGCAGUCAGCAAGAAACAUUUCAGCACUGAAGCUCACCUCUGCCUGACAAUAAGACUUUAGGUACUGAUAAUAAGGUGCAUCAGGAGAGACAGAAGAGGAAAGAAAAGACUUCUGCCUGCGUUCACAUUUGACUGUGUCCAGCAGCUAAACCAAAGUCCAGCUCUGCCCACAGCCAGACCAGUGUGUGCACCAUGGACAGACCCUGGCCCAGGACUGCCGAUCCUGGACCCCAUGAAUCAUCCUUUCCAACUACUGAACUACACAAAGUAUGGAUUUGCAUACAUAAGAACAUUUAAUGCGUCUACAGACACACAGAUUUACAGAGGGUCUUGGUGGCUCCUAUAAUUGGGCUCACUAUUCUAAGGCUAACUUGGUACUGUCACUCUCUGUGGUUGAAAAAUCAUGGGACAAGUAUGAAUUAUAAGUACAACUGGAUCAAAAAGGACAAAAAACAAAUAAGAAAGAAAGAAAAAAAAAUAACUAUCUGCUUCUUUGGGACACAGAUUCUGUUUUGCUUUGGGUUCAUAGGAUAAUACACCCACCCUACAGGAACACAGGCCUCAACCCUCCUCCUUGGCAGUCAGGGAUACCCCGGGCAUCACCUUGCCUACAGGAACCUCAGUUGAAGAAGGUGAUUUUGGACAUGGACAGAAGCACUUUCAAGGACAUGUUGCCACACAUCUCUUCAGGUCCCACCUCCAGUAACUGCCCAAGGCCCCACCAGCUGCCUCCCCUCACCCACCAGUGCUUUUAGCCUUCCCAGUCCACCUGCAGUGGGUCACAGACCUUCCCCUUCCCAUGCUGAAGGGGCUGUGAGCAGGACCAAAAAGCAGAGGAAUCACUCAAAUGUUCACACAUGGGGAAGGAGAGAAGGGUCCAAAGUCAGCCUUGGUCUCCUCAUAUCUUCUUGUCACUGCUUAUGUCAUGCCAGUGUCAUCUCCAGAGAUUAUGGGGGGAGAUUUCCAUAUCUCACUACAGUGCUGCUGUUGCAUGCAAGGUGGGAAGUAAAAAGGGUUCCCUCCAGACAGGGCAGCAAUUUGGGUGGGGAUUGCUUCUUCUGUCAUUGUAAAAGUGGCUCCAAAUACAGCUGGGAUUCGUAGAAAAAUAAUGUGUGUUUCUUCUAAUAUCUCUUCCCCUUUCCUCCCCUCCUCUCCUCUUCUUUCUUCUUCCAGGUGAGCAAAGCAUUUGCAGCAGAUGUGUUUCAUUAUGCAAAUUUUAAUAACAUAUUCAACAAGGCUACAGUAAAGCAAAUGGUACCUUUGCACAAAGUUUCUGCCUCACCUACAAAUGCCAAGCAGUGCUGAAGGCCUCCUGAGCAAACCGCUUCUUCCCCACCAUUACAUGUGGGUGCUUAUGGGGUAGUUUCAAACUUCCCAUUGCCCUCCCCAGAAGGAAAUAUCGCUCAGCCCAGCCUCUCCCAAACUUUUUGGUAGUGCAGAGGGAAUGUGACCAGCUCAACAAAUGUCCUGCCUCUCCUGGAUGCUCUGAGACUGCAGCAGUGACAUCCUGCCUGUGCCACAUGCAAUGGAGCUGGCCCCAUCCAGGCUGCUGCAUCUUUCUUACACCACGGGAAACACAUUGUGUCUACCCUUGGCUAAGAGACCACUUGGUCAAGGGCUUGAAAUAAAAAUAAAUUUUAAAAAUGUCUUUGUCCAGUGGAGCAAACACUGUGGAAGGAUUCGUGGUCAGCACCACCACCACAGGGCCUUCAACCACCUCUGGGCUGGGAGUCCCAGGGGUAAGGGGACAAGGCUCCCCACAACCUUGGCUGCAGAAGGCGGGAGGGACACUGGGGUCCCUCUGACCCUGUGUUUGUGUCCCUUGGUGUGCAGAGCUCAGCCCCACCACCUACAGCCACCUCCAUGGCCACCAGCAGUCUCCCACCCUGAAGGAGAAGGACCAGGCUGAGACCCAAAAUGGCACACUGCGCUCAGGGCUCGAGGCCUGCUCACGUACAGCAGCAGAUAGCCUCAUGCCAUGAAAUCCAGAGCGAUUCCAUGCAUUUGGCAGACAGAAUUUCUUGAAAGCGUGGCUCUAGAUAAUUAAAAGCAGCCUGGAGCCAUGUGGGUGUCUGCUCAUCACCAGUUCCUGGAAGAAUUGCCUUUGGAGGCACAUGCACGCACAUAUCCAUGGCUGCCCAGGUGUCUCCUUGCCCCACAGGUUGGAAACAAGAUAUUUGUCUGGGUAUCACACACUUUGAGGUGCAUAGGUCAGAGAGAGCUGUGCUCUGGAGUAACCUGCACCUGCUGAUAGGAGCAAGUUGGUCCAGACUCCUCCGCCAGGAGCUGGGACACUGAUGUGGGACUCUCCUUGCCUUGUCCUGAACCCAUGUUGGUACAAAGUAGGGGCCUCCCCUCAGCAGCUCCCAGUCGGUCACAGAAAGAGUUCAGGGGUGGGGAAAAGCUCCCUUUUCAGCCCCAGAUUGGUUACAACCAAUAUCAAAUUCAAGGC